rnacentral:lncRNA from 1 species
UUUAGGGUGUGCUUUGAAGACAUCCCGCUGGUCGCUGUUGCUGCGCAGCGGCGUUUGCUUCUCCUCCUUUCGAGUUCGAAAGGCCAUAGAUGUCGGCCCUACAUCAUAUACAUUUUCCCAUGCUCUUACUUUGCCUCAUGAGGGCUUACGCGUGAAUUCGUCGGUGUCCUGAAGUUAACAUGCACAACAUUCCCCAUGCGCCAUGGCACGGGUUGGUCAGGUCUUGGUAUCUCCUUGAACCUCUUGGGGAGUUCCGGUGCGGGCAGCAGCUAUAGCAGGUGAUCCGGUCGAUUCCUUCAAUCUCCGUGCCCUAUGUCCCGAUUUGCUCACGGACAGUAGCCUUUAAGCAACUACCAGGCCCCUUUCGUUAGGUUGUAUAUCAUCGCUUUGCUCACUCCGUGUAGCUUUAGGACGAAGCUGCUGAUAAAAGGACGCGCCCCUUGCACCUGCGCGUUACAUGUCCUCGCGCAUGUCAGCGGCACCGGAACUUAUAUAACACGGCCGCAUCAAUUUCAAUAAAUAAAAUUCUGUUUGGUGGCGCAAGGUGCUAACAUUUACCUUUACAGGUUUUUGCAAGGUUAAGCAUCAGUCCAAGGCGUCCGUGUGUAAACCACACUUCUAGGGCACAAGUUCGCAUCUGUAUGUUCUAGUGAAAAAACUGAGCCGCGAGGGCGUAGUGAGGAUGCAUGGCACACGCUGAGGUCGUUGUACGAGCAGCAUUACGGAAGGAAGCUGCUGCUGUGAGUUGGUAGGAGUCAAUUACACCUCUUCGUCCGGAAAUGCAAGCGUGCCGUUUGGGGCUUCAUUC